rnacentral:rRNA from 1 species
CCUACGGGUGGCUGCAGUGGGGAAUAUUGGGCAAUGGAGGCAACUCUGACCCAGCCAUGCCGCGUGGGUGACGAAGGUCUUCGGAUUGUAAAGCCCUUUCGGCGGAGACGAUGAUGACGGUAUCCGCAGAAGAAGCCCCGGCUAACUUCGUGCCAGCAGCCGCGGUAAUACGAAGGGGGCUAGCGUUGUUCGGAAUUACUGGGCGUAAAGGGCGUGUAGGCGGCCCGCUAAGUCAGGUGUGAAAGGCCUGGGCUCAACCCAGGAAAUGCGCCUGGGACUGACGGGCUUGAAUCCGGGAGAGGAUGGUGGAACUCCCAGUGUAGAGGUGAAAUUCGUAGAUAUUGGGAAGAACACCCGUGGCGAAGGCGGCCAUCUGGACCGGUAUUGACGCUAAGGCGCGACAGCGUGGGGAGCAAACAGGAUUAGAUACCCGAGUAGUC